rnacentral:misc_RNA from 1 species
AAGUCGUAACAAGGUUUCCGUAGGUGAACCUGCGGAAGGAUCAUUAAUAAUUAAUUAAUAGCCCUCUAGUCGCAAGACAAACAGGUGCUGUUAUUUAUUGUGAACUGGUGGAUCAAGUCUGUCAAAGGAUUUGUUCCAUGCAAUUAUUGUACUUUAGUAUUUUUUUUAUAAAAAAGUUGAAUUAAAAAUGACAACUUUCAGCAAUGGAUCUCUUGGCUCUU